GAUGAACGCUGGCGGCGUGCCUAAUACAUGCAAGUCGAGCGAACGGACGAGAAGCUUGCUUCUCUGAUGUUAGCGGCGGACGGGUGAGUAACACGUGGAUAACCUACCUAUAAGACUGGGAUAACUUCGGGAAACCGGAGCUAAUACCGGAUAAUAUUUUGAACCGCAUGGUUCAAAAGUGAAAGACGGUCUUGCUGUCACUUAUAGAUGGAUCCGCGCUGCAUUAGCUAGUUGGUAAGGUAACGGCUUACCAAGGCAACGAUGCAUAGCCGACCUGAGAGGGUGAUCGGCCACACUGGAACUGAGACACGGUCCAGACUCCUACGGGAGGCAGCAGUAGGGAAUCUUCCGCAAUGGGCGAAAGCCUGACGGAGCAACGCCGCGUGAGUGAUGAAGGUCUUCGGAUCGUAAAACUCUGUUAUUAGGGAAGAACAUAUGUGUAAGUAACUGUGCACAUCUUGACGGUACCUAAUCAGAAAGCCACGGCUAACUACGUGCCAGCAGCCGCGGUAAUACGUAGGUGGCAAGCGUUAUCCGGAAUUAUUGGGCGUAAAGCGCGCGUAGGCGGUUUUUUAAGUCUGAUGUGAAAGCCCACGGCUCAACCGUGGAGGGUCAUUGGAAACUGGAAAACUUGAGUGCAGAAGAGGAAAGUGGAAUUCCAUGUGUAGCGGUGAAAUGCGCAGAGAUAUGGAGGAACACCAGUGGCGAAGGCGACUUUCUGGUCUGUAACUGACGCUGAUGUGCGAAAGCGUGGGGAUCAAACAGGAUUAGAUACCCUGGUAGUCCACGCCGUAAACGAUGAGUGCUAAGUGUUAGGGGGUUUCCGCCCCUUAGUGCUGCAGCUAACGCAUUAAGCACUCCGCCUGGGGAGUACGACCGCAAGGUUGAAACUCAAAGGAAUUGACGGGGACCCGCACAAGCGGUGGAGCAUGUGGUUUAAUUCGAAGCAACGCGAAGAACCUUACCAAAUCUUGACAUCCUUUGACAACUCUAGAGAUAGAGCCUUCCCCUUCGGGGGACAAAGUGACAGGUGGUGCAUGGUUGUCGUCAGCUCGUGUCGUGAGAUGUUGGGUUAAGUCCCGCAACGAGCGCAAUCCUUAAGCUUAGUUGCCAUCAUUAAGUUGGGCACUCUAAGUUGACUGCCGGUGACAAACCGGAGGAAGGUGGGGAUGACGUCAAAUCAUCAUGCCCCUUAUGAUUUGGGCUACACACGUGCUACAAUGGACAAUACAAAGGGCAGCGAAACCGCGAGGUCAAGCAAAUCCCAUAAAGUUGUUCUCAGUUCGGAUUGUAGUCUGCAACUCGACUACAUGAAGCUGGAAUCGCUAGUAAUCGUAGAUCAGCAUGCUACGGUGAAUACGUUCCCGGGUCU
rnacentral:rRNA from 1 species